GUGAAUUUUGUAUGGGUUUUCCACUCUGUGGUAACCCUCACUACAAUACACCAACAUCCAUAUACACCUGUGCACCGUUGGCUAGAUGUGGCUCAUUCGUGAGUCUUCGUCUGCUGACAACAAUUUAUAAACUCUGAGUUAUAAUGAAUGUUAAUUGUAUCUUGCCAUUUGGCAGAAACUAAAU
rnacentral:misc_RNA from 1 species